GUUUGAGGUCUUGUAAGGGAAACUGAAGGGAAUUGUGUAUUGAACAGGAUGGCUUAGACCUGCUCAACUUCUGAGAAUUGAGGCAAAGUGGGCAAUCCAGAUGUAUCACUUGACUUUCUGACUACUGGAAGAAUUUCCCUUCAUUAUUGCACACCAGGGGUAUCCCACAGAGAGAAGAGAUCAAAAGAAGGAUGAUCCCCACACAGAUGUGCAAGUGACUAAUUCAGUCCAGAAGGAAACCAGGCCCCCCUCACAGUGUUGAGAGAAGACAGCACCAGCCAGCCUUGUAGCCUGAGAAGCUGUCUCCUCACCAGCUUUCUCCUCACCAACUCUUCAAAGAUCCAGUUGAUACAAAAUGCACAUGCUAAAAUAUGAUUCCCCAGUCCUGUCCAAGCUGAUGUGGUCUUCUCCAAGCCCCCAGUCCUGACCAAGCUGAAUCUCCUUUGUCACUCAUGGGGCAACAGGGACUUACCUGCCAGUGCAGGAGAAAGGAGAGAUCCUUUAGAACAGGAGCUAAGAUGCCAGGAGCUCACGCAAAAUGCUUGAAGAAAGGGGCUUAGCCAGAAACCGAAC
rnacentral:lncRNA from 1 species